AGAGUUUGAUCCUGGCUCAGGACGAACGCUGGCGGCGUGCCUAAUACAUGCAAGUAGAACGCUGAAGGGAGAGCUUGCUCUUCUGGAUGAGUUGCGAACGGGUGAGUAACGCGUAGGUAACCUGCCUGGUAGCGGGGGAUAACUAUUGGAAACGAUAGCUAAUACCGCAUAAGAGGAGUUAACUCAUGUUAACUGUUUAAAAGAAGCAACGGCUUCACUAUCAGAUGGACCUGCGUUGUAUUAGCUAGUAGGUAGGGUAACGGCCUACCUAGGCAACGAUACAUAGCCGACCUGAGAGGGUGAACGGCCACACUGGGACUGAGACACGGCCCAGACUCCUACGGGAGGCAGCAGUAGGGAAUCUUCGGCAAUGGACGCAAGUCUGACCGAGCAACGCCGCGUGAGUGAAGACGGUUUUCGGAUCGUAAAGCUCUGUUGUAGGGGAAGAACGUGUGUAAGAGUGGAAAGCUUACACAGUGACGGUACCCUACCAGAAAGGGACGGCUAACUACGUGCCAGCAGCCGCGGUAAUACGUAGGUCCCGAGCGUUGUCCGGAUUUAUUGGGCGUAAAGCGAGCGCAGGCGGUUAGAUAAGUCUGAAGUUAAAGGCUGUGGCUUAACCAUAGUACGCUUUGGAAACUGUUUAACUUGAGUGCAGAAGGGGAGAGUGGAAUUCCAUGUGUAGCGGUGAAAUGCGUAGAUAUAUGGAGGAACACCGGUGGCGAAAGCGGCUCUCUGGUCUGUAACUGACGCUGAGGCUCGAAAGCGUGGGGAGCGAACAGGAUUAGAUACCCUGGUAGUCCACGCCGUAAACGAUGAGUGCUAGGUGU
rnacentral:rRNA from 1 species